rnacentral:misc_RNA from 1 species
UCAAACUUGGUCAUUUAGAGGAAGUAAAAGUCGUAACAAGGUAACCGUAGGUGAACCUGCGGUUGGAUCAUUAUAAAAUAUAAUGGUUUUCCAGGUUGAGUUUCAAAUCAUUCUUACGAUUUGAAAUUCCUUGGAGAAUUCCAAUCAACCCUAUGUGCACUGUAAAUGUUUUUCGAGCACUUUAUAUUUAUAGAGUGCUCGACCAUAUUUAAAAACCCCAUUUAUUAAUUUGUCUGAAUUUUUUAUUAAAUAAAAAUAAAAAAUACAACUUUUGACAACGGAUCUCUUGGCUCUCGCAUCGAUGAAGAACGCAGC